UUAGCUUGUUUUAAAAAAAAUCUCGCCGCCAUGUAUGACAAGUGUUACUGCAAGAAAUUCAUCAGCCUUCUACAGAUACUUCCAGUUUUGCUGUAAUGAUCUGCAGAAGAGAACUGCCAUCACUUUCUCACAUCCCAAGGUGUUGCAGGAACUCAGAGAGAGGGGAGAGUGGCUGAAACGCUUAAUUACCGGAGGCGAAGGAGGGGCGCGCGGGGGACCGAAGGAGAGGGGAGUGAAGAAGGAAGGUCCUUUACCAGGCUUGUACCUGGAGAAAGCUUUGAAUCGCUUCUCUGCUAUAUUUGGAAAAGGUAUGCUUGCUUUUUAAAAAAAUGCCUUUAGGGCAAAGUGAUACCCUUGUGUAAUAAUUAACUCAGACAAUAAAAAUAAUUGGAAAAUCA
ensembl:lncRNA novel transcript